rnacentral:misc_RNA from 1 species
UUUUUUUUUACUGCAUUGCAGAAGAGAGAUCCCAGCUAGCAAACAAGAUCAAGGCUCUUAGCCGGUUAAAAGCAAAGCUAUUGGUCAUAGCCGAGGAGCAAAGGGCAUCUGAAAUCAAGCAAAUAAGGGGAGAUGCAGUGAAAGCUGAGUGGGGCCAACAGAUAAGAAACUAUGUAUUCCAUCCGUACAAACUUGUCAAGGACGUGAGGACAGGAUUUGAGACAUCAGAUAUUACCUCUGUGAUGGAUGGCGAAUUGGAGCCCUUCAUCAAAGCUUACCUCAAGUACAAAUACAACAUGA